UUCAAUUUAAUUGAAAGAGCCUCUGGACCUUGAAACAGGUCUCCAUGGCGUUUUAGCAGAACCUGUGCAAAACUACCCCUGGUGGGAACUUUGAAGAUCUACAUGGGCAAUUGGGUUUUGAUGCUGUGCCAGAAAUCUUCUGACAAUGAGUUACUGGAACUUGGAGAAAAGGAACUGUGUGCAGUACCGCAGGCACUUUCUGGUGGACAACAGUCUGUUUCAUG
rnacentral:lncRNA from 1 species